AUUAGAUACCCUGGUAGUCCACGCCGUAAACGAUGAUCACCAGGUGUCGGUGGGUAUGGACCCACCGGUGCCGCAGCAAACGCAGUAAGUGAUCCACCUGGGGAGUACGUUCGCAAGAAUGAAGCUCAAAGGAAUUGACGGGGACCCGCACAAGCGGUGGAGCAUGUGGUUUAAUCCGAAGCAACGCGAAGAACCUUACCAAGUCUUGACAUCUGGAUGACAGGGACUUAACCGUCCCCUUACUUCGGUACAUCCAAGACAGGUGGUGCAUGGUUGUCGUCAGCUCGUGUCGUGAGAUGUUGGGUUAAGUCCCGCAACGAGCGCAACCCUUAUCAUUAGUUGCUACGCAAGAGCACUCUAGUGAGACUGCCGUUGACAAAACGGAGGAAGGUGGGGAUGACGUCAAAUCAUCAUGCCCCUUAUGACCCGGGCUACACACGUACUACAAUGGCGAUCAACAGAGGGAAGCAAAGCCGCGAGGCAGAGCAAAACCCUAAAAAUCGUCUCAGUUCAGAUUGCAGGCUGCAACUCGCCUGCAUGAAGUCGGAAUUGCUAGUAAUCGCAGAUCAGCAUGCUGCGGUGAAUACGUUCCCGGGCCUUGUACACACCGCCCGUCACACCAUGGGAGUCGGUAACACCCGAAGUCGGUAGCCUAACCGUAAGGAGGGCGCCGCCGAAGGUGGGAUUGAUGACUGGGGUGAAGUCGUAACAAGGUACC
rnacentral:rRNA from 1 species